rnacentral:lncRNA from 1 species
GAUAUUUUCUUCUUAUUUUCUUUCUCCUCUUUAAUGCACUCAGAUGUUUCCCUAUCUCUUUCUAUUAAAUAUAAAAAUGUUUAAUGUGAAACAACCGUUGUACUCUAAAAAUAUUUAAAAAUGUUUAGAGAAUGGUGUUUAAACAUUUUUAUAUUUAAUACGUCUGGGCUCGAGACUUUUUAAUCGUCUGAUACCAUGUGAAACAACCGUUGUACUCUAGAAGCUUAAGUUGUUAGAGAAUGGUUUUUAAACAUUUUAUAUUUAACAUGUAAAACAAGUCAGAGAACGGUGUUUAAAUAUUUUUAUAUUUAACACUCCCCCUCACGUUUGGGCUCGAGACUUUUUAAUCGGUUUAAUCGACCCAUGACGUGGGCUUGAAUUAAAUGGGAGAAAAUUAAUAUAUUAGGAGCCUGGCGUGACUCGAACUCAGGACCUCGUGCUCUGAUACUAUAUAUGUAAAACAACCGUUGCACUCUAAAAGUUUAGACUGUUAGAGAACGGUGUUUAAAUAUUUUUAUAUUUAACACUCUCUAUCUCUAAUGUUAGAUAUACACAUUGAACU